rnacentral:lncRNA from 1 species
GAACUCACCUUGUGUGGUUUCAGUGAAUGGAUGAUAAAGAACAGAAGUGUUAAACUCAAGAACACUUUAGAUGAUGCUUGAAGAUUCGAAGAUCUAACANAGAAGUGUUAAACUCAAGAACACUUUAGAUGAUGCUUGAAGAUUUGAAGAUCUAACACAAAUAUGAUGAUAUUUGUGUAAGGAACUCAUGAUUUGAGUGAAGAAAUGUAAGGAAAUCAAGUGUGGGAAGAGAUUUACUUACCAAAGGUGUGUGAAGAGCUCAAGAUCAGCCUUGAAUCUCGAAUUCUUGGUGAGAGGAAGUGAGAGAGAAUGGGUUUUGCUUUUUGGAGAAAAAUGAGUGAAAUGGGAGGAGAGAUAAGGAUCCUUCUA